AAAAUUUAAUCAAUAUCUAAAUUGAUUUAAUUUCCGAUAAAGGUAAUUUAGCACGUCACAAUGCAUAAUGACCAUUAAGUGGUAACAGCGCAAGGCGCGGCGCGCUCCCCACGCGAACGCAACGUAAUGAUCGCGCAUGCUUGUGCCGGUAGCGGUGGUAGCAGCGGGAGCAGUGGGUGCGCUGGGUACGCUGGGUGCGCUGGGGCUGGCAGCUCACUGCGGAAGCGGCCAAGGGCUGCGCGCUGGACCGUCACAACUGUGAACCAGACCUGCUCACAAAACCGGAAUACGUGCAAAAUAUAACCGUUUUGUUCGUGUGUGAAACGGAGAUCGCGCGUCACCAACAGAUUCAUUAUAUUACUUGUUAUCUGUGGUUGUAAAACGUAUACCUCGCGCUUUACUUUUUCUGCCCUUUCAAUAUGGCUGACGAUUGUGAAACAUUAUACGAUGUGAAUUAAUA